CCUGGCGGCCAGAGCGAGCGGGAACCACCCGAUCCCAUCCCGACCUCGGAAGUGAAACCGCUUAGCGCCGAUGAUAGUGCAAGAAUACCUGUGCGAAAGUAGGGAACUGCCAGGC
rnacentral:rRNA from 1 species